rnacentral:rRNA from 1 species
AAAGGGUGAGUAAUGGAUAGGUAACGUACCCUGUGCUCUGGGGUACCCAUCCGAAAGGAUGGGUAAGUACCGGAUAAUAUCACAGGCCAUAGACCUGUGAUCAAAGAUUUAUCGGAGCGGGAGCGGCCUAUUUCCUAUCAGCCUGUUGGUGAGGUAAUGGCUCACCAAGGCUAAGACGGGUAGCGGGACUGAGAGGUUGGCCCGCCACAUCGGGACUGAGACACUGCCCGGACCCCCACGGGGGGCUGCAGUAACGAAUCUUGCGCAAUGGGCGAAAGCCUGACGCAGCGACGCCGCGUGUAGGAGGAAGUCCUUCGGGAUGUAAACUACUGUCAGGGAUAAGAAAGUGCGCUUCGGCGUAUUGAUCUAACCCAGAGGAAGUCACGGCUAACUUCGUGCCAGCAGCCGCGGUAAGACGAAGGUGGCUAGCGUUGUUCGGUAUCACUGGGCUUAAAGCGUGUGUAGGCGGAAUGGUAAGCGUCUUGUGAAAUCCCUCGGCUUAACCGAGGAAUUGCUGGGCGAACUGCUUUUCUUGAGGCAGGUAGGGGUGCAUGGAACUCUUGGUGGAGCGGUGGAAUGCGUAGAUAUCAAGAGGAACGCCAGUGGAGAAGUCGGUGCACUGGGCCUGUCCGACGCUGAGACACGAAAGCGUGGGUAGCGAACGGGAUUAGAUACCCCGGUAGUCCACGCCGUAAACGAUGUCUACUAGGUUGCGAGAGUUCUGACGCUUGCGCGACCG